rnacentral:rRNA from 1 species
GCAAUUCGGCAUGGUCUGAGGGUAUAUUUCCUUAUUGUUAUUUUUGGUGUUUGUGGUUAGGUAAGUUAAGCAUUAUUUUGUUGGUGUAUUGUUUUAGAUUUAAUUUUUUAAUGAUAGUUUAUUUGUACUGUGAGGGGUUGGAGUUGUAUUUUUUGGAAGCUGAUUUUUUUUAUUGUACCUUGUGUAUCAGGGUUCAUUGAAUUUUGUUAUUUAUUUUUGUUUCCCGAUUUCGAAGGAGUUAUUGGUUUGUUUUAGUUAUUGUUUCAUAAAUAUUAAUUACAUUCUGUUGGUAGUGAAAUGCUAUUCGUCUUCGAGGGUUUCUGGUUUUUCAAGAAAUGAAUUUAAUUCAGGCAUUUGUUGGUUUUAAUUUUUAAAAUUGUGUUUAUUUUUUAUUACCUGUUGCUAAGAUUAAGGGGGAUUAGCUCUUUAUUUGAUUUUUAUAAUUUGGUUGGUUAUAUUUGGUCUUGUGGAUUUUAUGGUGAUUAUCAAUUUGAUUAUGUUAAAAUUUUAUUGGUUGUUUUCGUUAUUUGGUUUGUAUUUAAGUUUUUAUUGAAAUGUUUACUUUAUUUUUGUUUGUGUAGUAAUUAUUGUGGAAUUAGUAUAUUUGUAUGAUUGGGUUGUUUGUUUGUUUGUUAGUUUCUUUUGAGGAAUUCGGCAAAUAUUGGUUUCCGCCUGUUUAACAAAAACAUCUUUUCUUGGUAGUUUUUGAAGUAUAGCCUGCCCGCUGAUUUGGUUUGAAGGGCCGCGGUAUUCUGACCGUGCAAAGGUAGCAUAAUCAUUAGUUCUUUAAUUGUGAUCUGGAAUGAAUGGCUGGACGAGACACUAGCUGUCUUAUUUUGAAUUGGGUUGUUGAAUUUGGUCUUUGAGUUAAAAUUCUUAAAUGUUUUUAUGGGACGAGAAGACCCUAUAGAGUUUUACAUCAGGUUUGGGUUGAUAGUGUUUGUUGUUUUAUGUUUAUUUGGCUUGAUGUUUUGUUGGGGCGAUGGGAGGAAUUUAUUUAACUCUUCUUGUUAAGUUGAUAUAUUGAUUUGUAUCUGUUUGAUCCACUUUGUUUGUGAUUAUAAGAUUAAAUUACCUUAGGGAUAACAGCGUUAUCCUCCUUGAGAGUUCUUAUCGACAGGAGGGGUUGCGACCUCGAUGUUGGAUUAAGGUGAAUUCGUGGUGUAGUGGCUAUGAGUUGUAUUAGGUCUGUUCGACCUUUAAUAAUCUUACAUGAUCUGAGUUCAGACCGGCGUGAGCCAGGUUGGUUUCUAUCUAUAAUGAGGUGUUGUGCUUUAGUACGAGAGGACCAGGCAUGAGAAAUAAUUUUAUUUGAGUUGAGUUUUAUUAACGUAACUAUUUUGGCAGAUAAGUGCAUUGGAUUUAGAAUCUAUUAA